rnacentral:lncRNA from 1 species
UGAGCGAUAUGAUGACAUGGCAGCCUGCAUGAAGUCUGUAACUGAGCAAGGAGCUGAAUUAUCCAAUGAGGAGAGGAAUCUUCUCUCAGUUGCUUAUAAAAAUGUUGUAGGAGCCCGUAGGUCAUCUUGGAGGGUCGUCUCAAGUAUUGAACAAAAGACGGAAGGUGCUGAGAAAAAACAGCAGAUGGCUCGAGAAUACAGAGAGAAAA